rnacentral:rRNA from 1 species
AACGCGAAGAACCUUACCUACCCUUGACAUGGUCGGAACCCUGCUGAAAGGUGGGGGUGCUCGAAAGAGAACCGGCGCACAGGUGCUGCAUGGCUGUCGUCAGCUCGUGUCGUGAGAUGUUGGGUUAAGUCCCGCAGCGAGCGCAACCCUUGUCCUUAGUUGCUACGCAAGAGCACUCUAGGGAGACUGCCGGUGACAAACCGGAGGAAGGUGGGGAUGACGUCAAGUCCUCAUGGCCCUUAUGGGUAGGGCUUCACACGUCAUACAAUGGUCGGAACAGAGGGUUGCCAAGCCGCGAGGCGGAGCCAAUCCCAGAAAACCGAUCGUAGUCCGGAUCGCAGUCUGCAACUCGACUGCGUGAAGCUGGAAUCGCUAGUAAUCGCGGAUCAGCAUGCCGCGGUGAAUACGUUCCC